AGGAUCAUUAAAGAAAUAAUCUCGAGGGCCGAUGGAAAGGAGAGAGGGUUGUAGCUGGCGUAAGCACGUGCACGCCCUCUUUCUCGACCUAGGUCCUUAUGGGCGCGGGGCGACCCGCGUCUUCAUAAGCCCCUUCGUGUAGAAAGUCUAUGAAUGUUUUUAUUAUCAUCGACUCGCGACUUCUAGGAGACGCGAUUCUUUGAGACAAAAGUUAUUACAACUUUCAGCAAUGGAUCUCUUGGCUCUCGCAUCGAUGAAGAACGCAGCGAAUCGCGAUAUGUAAUGUGAAUUGCAGAUCUACAGUGAAUCAUCGAAUCUUUGAACGCACCUUGCGCUUAUCGGUGUUCCGAUGAGCAUGCCUGUUUGAGCGUCAUUAAAUUCUCAACCCCUCUCGAUUUGCUUCGAGAGGGUGCUUGGAUAGUGGAGGCUGCCGGAGACCUGUUUUUUCAGGACUCGGGCUCCUCUGAAAUGUAUUGGCUUGCGGUCGACUUUCGACUGUGCAUGACAAGGCCUUUGGCGUGAUAAUGAUCGCCGCUCGCCGAAGUGCACGAACGAAUGGUCUCGUGCCCCUAAUCAGUCGAUGUCUUUUCGAAGGCGUCUUCCUUAUUGACGUUUGACCUCAAAUCAGGUAGGACUACCCGCUGAACUUAAGCAUAUCAAUAAGCGGAGGA
rnacentral:rRNA from 1 species